UGUGCGAGUUUGCAACCCGAUGAACCGGAAAGGUUAUGUUUACUACGCCUGGCUCAAGUCUCUGCCUCAGUCUUCCUGGGGAGUACAUGCUGGUUCCAGCGUAUGGCAUGGCCGAGGAAGAAGUUCUGGAUCCAACUGCCCAAUGUACCAUUGUGGUCCAAAAGAGCUUUGAACUGGAGCCUGGAAUGUGGCCCCAGAUGGUGGCCUAAGGGAUCCAGACCUGGUCUCUGAACACCUUCACCUGUACAGAGCCUGAACCUGCGGUUCAGAAAGACAAGAAGGAAGAAAGGAAGGGCCAGAUUUCAGUUGCAACACUGAGUGCUUCCACAGCACCGCUGGUGGACAAACCUCUCUCUGGCUAGCACCUGCAGCAGGAUUGACUCCCAUGGACCUGACAGAGUGAGCUCUGGGUCCUUGGUCAACUCUGGGAGGAAGGAAGAAGUCUUCGGAUGGAGGCACUAGACUUCUUGCUAAUAAGGACAUGUAGGAGUUCUAGCAAUUCACUAGAAUAAUUAGAGGCCCUGACUAUAUGUGUUAGUUGAAGCAUAUCAAACUAGCUACCAGUUCUCUUGCCUCAUUUAGAGUCCCAAGAGUGACCCAGAAAUUCCAUUCAUAUAUAUUUAUCCCAGAGAAGCAAAAAUACAUGCCCAUCCAAAAACAUGAAAGUUCAUAGCAGCAUUAUUCACAGUAGCCAAAAGGUGAAAGCAACCUACAUUACCUACCAAUAGAAGGGUGGCUAAAUAAACUAUAGUAUAUUAUACAAUAGCUAUUAUUUAUCAAUCAAAACAAAGGAGGGACUGAACAUGUUACAAUAUAUAUAUGAACCUUGAAAUUGAGAGUUAAACGAAAGAAGCCAAUCACAGAUGUAUUACAAUCAGAUGUGUUACAUGAGUCAUUUAUUUAUUUCCUUUGUAUACUCCUUUGUAUGCUUUAAGGUAAUUUGACAUUAAUUCAUCACAUACCGGAUUUUGCAAUAAACCUUC
rnacentral:lncRNA from 1 species